UACGUAGGGGGCGAGCGUUGUCCGGAAUCACUGGGCGUAAAGCGCGCGUAGGCGGUUUGUUAAGUGGGAUGUGAAAUCCCCGGGCUUAACCUGGGAAUUGCAUUUCAAACUGGCUGACUAGAGUACGGUAGAGGGAGGUAGAAUUUCCUGUGUAGCGGUGAAAUGCGUAGAUAUAGGAAGGAAUACCAGUGGCGAAGGCGGCCUCCUGGAUCGAUACUGACGCUGAGGCGCGAAAGCGUGGGGAGCAAACAGG
rnacentral:rRNA from 1 species